UUUCAUAAAGAUCCAUACACUUACACCCUAGUUAUUGUCCUGAAACUAGAAAAAUGCUUGUUGUUUUGCCCCUUUUUGGCCCCUAAUUCCUAAAAUUUUGAGGCAAUUACCCCCAAAAUCAAUCCCAGCCUUCCCUUUGUUGUAUGGUACCUUGCAGUACAAUUUCAGAGAGAUCCAUACACUUGAACACAAGUUAUUGUCUGGAAACUAGAAUAAAAUGCUCCGCUGGGGCGCAGCUUGAUACGACCGCAGAGGUCGAACCCUGAACAGUUGGGGCAAGUAUGGACACAACAUUCAAGCUUGAUACAGCACUGAAUUUGGAUUGUAAUUAAAUAUUUGACACAGCAUAGGUUUCUGACACAGAAUGAAUGUGGUCGAAGAACUUAAAAAAUUUUAAUUUACCUAUUAUGGUCCAAUAUCCAAAAUCUAAAUACAUACACGGUUAGAUUCAGCAUAUCAAAGAACCCCAAGAAUUCAAUUUUUGUUAAAAUCAAACUAAGUUUAAUUUUGGACCCUUUGGACUUUAAUGUAGACCAAUUUGAAAACAGGACCAAAAAUUAAGAAUCUAAAUACACGGUUAGAUUCAGCAUAUCAAAGAACCCCAAUAUUUCAAUUUUUGAUGAAAUCAAACCAUAUCAUUAUUAUUUGCUUUUAUAUA